rnacentral:lncRNA from 1 species
AUUCCGCAGAGUCCCAGCACAGAGCAGAGUAGAACAGAGUAGGAUUGGAGCUGAGAGAUAGUAAGUAAAUAGGCAGCAGAAAUAUGUCAAGCAACAAUACCCCAUCUGGAAUAAAAGCACCAUGAAUGCAGGAAUUUUGCCAACUUCUGGCACAGAGAUGGCUUUCAAAAUCUAUUUGGUGAAUGAAUGAAUGAAUUGCAUUUUCUUCCUAAAUUUCACAAUUGAGCGGUCCUAAUCUGCAUAUCCAAGAGCAAUGUAUGUGAACCUACGUUUCCACAGCCUCACCCACAGAAUGUGUGCUCAAACAUUUGGAUUUUUGCCCAUCUACUAGGUCAGCAUUUUACCUAUGGAUGGCAUUUUCUAUUUUCGGUGACGGACUAUGAGCCAGGAUAAACACAUUACUCUCUUCUUUAACAAAAAGAGCAUGGUUAACUCCAAAGACUUCUCUAGACCAGCCUGGAUGGUACCUAAACUUUAAUCAACCAAUGCUCAAGUAAAAGAGCAGUAUCCAGCCCCAGCACACCUAACUGUUUUGCAUAACAUAGUGCUCCUGACUGGAGAGCCCAGGCUGAGAUGGUGUUAAAUGCUUUUACCACGUGGGCUCCUGGCACCAAAUGAGCAAGCAAUGUCACCUUGAGAAAGUUACUCAAACUCUGUGUCUCAGUUUCAUCAUCUGUAAAAUGAGGGAUUGCUAGUACCUACUUGAAAGAUACUGCGAGUGAGGACAGCAAAAAUCAGCUAAUGACCAUGAACAGAUCUCACCCCACAGGCCUUGGAAACCUGAGGCAGUAUUCUUCUGGGAUGUUUCCAACUAGGCUUCCCAUGAGGAUGUUAGAGCCAGCCUGGCUGGUGAAUUUUACUUCUCUCACCUCUCAGAGGUAAGAGGUCUGAGAGGCUCAGGCCCUUCCAGCUUUUGAGGAUUCCAGCAUAGUAGAAACAUAAAAAGGUCCAAAGGGAAUUACAAAAAUAAUCUAUUUUCAGUUCUUAUACUUAACAAGUCAAUUCUUAUUAAAAAAAUAAAUCAAUCAAACUUUUGUUUGAUAUAAUUAUAGAUUCCAAGGAAGUUGUAAAGAUAGUACAGGAGGUCCCUGUGCAUCUUUCACCCAGUUUCCUCCAGUUUUAUGCCACUAGAGUACAAUAUCCAAACCAGGACAUUGACAUUGGAGCCAUAUGCAUGUAUAUUUCCAUGUCAUUUUAUCUCAUGUGUAUGCUCAUGUACCCAUCACUUCAAUCAGGUUAGAGACUAGACCAUCCCUCAUGCUGCCCUCUGAACUACCAACCCUAACCCGUGGAGGUCAUUAAUCUGUUCUUUAUCACUACAAUUUGGUCAUUUUGAGAAUGAAUAAAAUCACACAGUAAUGCAAGCCUUUUGAGACUAGCAUUUUUUCACUCAGCAUAACAUACUUAAGAUCCAUCAAUAAUUCUUCCAUUUUAUUGCCGAGCGGUAUUCUACAGUAUAGAUAUACUAAAGUUUAACUCUUCAUCUAAGGUAGGACAUUUUGGUUGUUUCCAGUUUUGGCUAUUACAAAUAAAGCUUCUAUGAGUAUUCACCUACA